rnacentral:misc_RNA from 1 species
AAAUCAAUAAAAUACUAUAAACAGACCUGAGAAACCCAGAGCGGCACCGAUAAAAGUUAAACUUGCUUGUUGACCUCCCCAAGUUUACUCUUUCUGACAGUUUUUCUCAUCUGGGUUUGCUUCAUUUCUCUGUUUGAACUUCUGGGUCUUGUUCAUUGUUUUCUUAAUCAAUUUGCAACUGCAGCUUGCCAGAUAAUUUAUCAUGGACUGGUAUUUUGGGAGCAUUAUUGAGGACCUUGUUGUCCCAAAGGAUGAAGAAAUAUCUGACAGGUUCCCAUCACCAGAAAAUUGGUCAAAAUGGGGAAUAAAUGAGUCAGAAACUUUUGGGUUUCCUAACAAAGGCUUUGUUAUUUAUUCAAAAUUGAAUCAGGAAGAACUCAACUUCAAUUGUGAAAUUCUCUCCAACAAUGAAGUUGAGAUGGAGAGUUCCGCCCAUGAUGAUAAAGAUCAAUCUAGUUCAAGUAUUGGUGGGGGAAUAUCAUCAGAGGAGUCUAUUCAUCACCAAACUGCUCUUUCUUGUGACCAGCAGCUGGAUUACCAGCUUGAUGGGCUUGCAGGAUUCCAACAGAUGGAUGACCUAUUCUUG